UACGUAGGGUGCAAGCGUUGUCCGGAAUUAUUGGGCGUAAAGAGCUCGUAGGCGGUUCGUCGCGUCGGCUGUGAAAACCCGGAGCUCAACUCCGGGCCUGCAGUCGAUACGGGCGGGCUAGAGUUCGGCAGGGGAGACUGGAAUUCCUGGUGUAGCGGUGAAAUGCGCAGAUAUCAGGAGGAACACCGGUGGCGAAGGCGGGUCUCUGGGCCGGUACUGACGCUGAGGAGCGAAAGCGUGGGGAGCGAACAGG
rnacentral:rRNA from 1 species